GUGGCAAUGAUGAGUCGCGCAGGGGUACGGACCUCGGCUGUAUCAUGGGAGCCGAAUGCGGAUUGUGACGUUUCUAAGAUUUGUUAACGUGUAGUUGGCUGCUUGGAAACUGGUCUGCAUGAGACUGUCGCCCGACUGAGCCAC